rnacentral:rRNA from 1 species
GACGUAGGGGGCGAGCGUUGUCCGGAUUCAUUGGGCGUAAAGCGCGCGUAGGCGGCUGCGCAAGUCGGUUGUGAAAUUCCGGGGCUCAACCCCGGAACUGCGUCCGAUACUGCGUGGCUAGAGGUAGGUAGGGGAGAUCGGAAUUCCUGGUGUAGCGGUGAAAUGCGCAGAUAUCAGGAGGAACACCGGUGGCGAAGGCGGAUCUCUGGGCCUUACCUGACGCUCAGGCGCGAAAGCUAGGGGAGCGAGCAGG